AUAGGACUACUCCUGUCAUCUACCAAGGUUGAUAGAUCUUAUCUUGGUGCAAUCUGGUUCCUACAAUGAAUAUACUACAGCCAACAUACACCUCAGGGUUCUGAAUGGCUAGGAGACUGAGUUAUGGUGUAGUCAAACUAUAACACACUCAAGGUGAACUAUCGAUGCACCUCAGGUCAAAGAACUAGACACACAGCUAUAGCAUCGAGCUAGUCAUCGACGAGAAGGUAGAC
rnacentral:lncRNA from 1 species